rnacentral:rRNA from 1 species
AUGGGCUCGCGGCCUAUCAGCUUGUUGGUGAGGUAAUGGCUCACCAAGGCGUCGACGGGUAGCCGGCCUGAGAGGGUGACCGGCCACACUGGGACUGAGACACGGCCCAGACUCCUACGGGAGGCAGCAGUGGGGAAUAUUGCACAAUGGGCGGAAGCCUGAUGCAGCAACGCCGCGUGAGGGAUGACGGCCUUCGGGUUGUAAACCUCUUUUAGCAGGGAAGAAGCGAGAGUGACGGUACCUGCAGAAAAAGCGCCGGCUAACUACGUGCCAGCAGCCGCGGUAAUACGUAGGGCGCAAGCGUUAUCCGGAAUUAUUGGGCGUAAAGAGCUCGUAGGCGGUUUGUCGCGUCUGCUGUGAAAUCCCGAGGCUCAACCUCGGGCCUGCAGUGGGUACGGGCAGACUAGAGUGCGGUAGGGGAGAUUGGAAUUCCUGGUGUAGCGGUGGAAUGCGCAGAUAUCAGGAGGAACACCGAUGGCGAAGGCAGAUCUCUGGGCCGUAACUGACGCUGAGGAGCGAAAGGGUGGGGAGCAAACAGGCUUAGAUACCCUGGUAGUCCACCCCGUAAA